rnacentral:rRNA from 1 species
GGCUCAGAUUGAACGCUGGCGGCAGGCCUAACACAUGCAAGUCGAGCGGUAGAGAGAAGCUUGCUUCUCUUGAGAGCGGCGGACGGGUGAGUAAUGCCUAGGAAUCUGCCUGGUAGUGGGGGAUAACGUCCGGAAACGGACGCUAAUACCGCAUACGUCCUACGGGAGAAAGCAGGGGACCUUUCGGGCCUUGCGCUAUCAGAUGAGCCUAGGUCGAAUUAGCUAGUUGGUGGGGUAAUGGCUCACCAAGGCGACGAUCCGUAACUGGUCUGAGAGGAUGAUCAGUCACACUGGAACUGAGACACGGUCCAGACUCCUACGGGAGGCAGCAGUGGGGAAUAUUGGACAAUGGGCGAAAGCCUGAUCCAGCCAUGCCGCGUGUGUGAAGAAGGUCUUCGGAUUGUAAAGCACUUUAAGUUGGGAGGAAGGGCAGUAAAUUAAUACUUUGCUGUUUUGACGUUACCGACAGAAUAAGCACCGGCUAACUCUGUGCCAGCAGCCGCGGUAAUACAGAGGGUGCAAGCGUUAAUCGGAAUUACUGGGCGUAAAGCGCGCGUAGGUGGUUCGUUAAGUUGGAUGUGAAAUCCCCGGGCUCAACCUGGGAACUGCAUUCAAAACUGACGAGCUAGAGUAUGGUAGAGGGUGGUGGAAUUUCCUGUGUAGCGGUGAAAUGCGUAGAUAUAGGAAGGAACACCAGUGGCGAAGGCGACCACCUGGACUGAUACUGACACUGAGGUGCGAAAGCGUGGGGAGCAAAC